GACGAACGCUGGCGGCGUGCCUAAUACAUGCAAGUAGGACGCAGUUGCGAACGGGUGAGUAACGCGUAGGUAACUACCUAUUAGAGGGGGAUAACUAUUGGAAACGAUAGCUAAUACCGCAUACUAGUAGAUGGACCUGCGUUGUAUUAGCUAGUAGGUAGGGUAAAGGCCUACCUAGGCAACGAUACAUAGCCGACCUGGGAGGGUGAUCGGGCAAAACUGGACUGGGGCACGGGCCGGACGUCUACGGGAGGCAGCAGUAGGGAAUGUUCGGCAAUGGGGGGAACCCUGACCGAGCAAAGCCGGGGGGAUGAAGAAGGUUUUCGGGUCGUAAAGCUCUGUUGUUAAGGAAGCGGUACUUAACCAGAAAGGGACGGCUAACUACGUGCCAGCAGCCGCGGUAAUUC
rnacentral:rRNA from 1 species